rnacentral:rRNA from 1 species
UUCCAGACUCCUACGGGAGGCAGCAGUGAGGAAUAUUGGUCAAUGGGCUUACGCCUGAACCAGCCAAGUCGCGUGAGGGAAGACUGCCCUAUGGGUUGUAAACCUCUUUUGUCAGGGAGCAAUUGGCGCUACGUGUAGCGUUAUCGAGAGUACCUGAAGAAAAAGCAUCGGCUAACUCCGUGCCAGCAGCCGCGGUAAUACGGAGGAUGCGAGCGUUAUCCGGAUUUAUUGGGUUUAAAGGGUGCGUAGGCGGGCAUUUAAGCCGGCGGUCAAAUGUCGGGGCUCAACCCCGACCUGCCGUCGGAACUGGGUGCCUUGAGUGGGCGAGAAGUAUGCGGAAUGCGUGGUGUAGCGGUGAAAUGCAUAGAUAUCACGCAGAACUCCGAUUGCGAAGGCAGCAUACCGGCGCCCAACUGACGCUGAAGCACGAAAGCGUGGGUAUCGAACAGGAUUAGAUACCCCAGUACG